rnacentral:rRNA from 1 species
UACUGGGCGUAAGCGCGCGUAGGUGGUUAGGUAAGUCAGAUGUGAAAGCCCUGGGCUCAACCUGGGAAUUGCAUUUGAUACUGCCUGGCUAGAGUAUGGUAGAGGGAAGCGGAAUUCCGGGUGUAGCGGUGAAAUGCGUAGAUAUCCGGAGGAACAUCAGUGGCGAAGGCGGCUUCCUGGACCAAUACUGACACUGAGGUGCGAAAGCGUGGGUAGCAAACAGGAUUAGAUACCCUGGUAGUCCACGCCGUAAACGAUGUCAACUAGCCGUUGGACUCAUUAUAGGGGUUUAGGGGCCCACUUAAGGCGUUAAUUGGCCCCCCGGGGGAUUACGGCCCCAGGGUAAAACUCAAAGGAAUUGACGG